UUCCGGUUGAUCCUGCCGGAGGCGACCGCUAUUGGAGUUCGAUUAAGACAUGCGAGUCUGAGCAUUAGCUCGGCGUACCGCUCAGUAACACGUGGGUAACCUGCCCUAUCGUUUUGAAUAACCUCGGGAAACUGAGAACAAUACAUCAUAGUCCACUACGCCUGGAACGGUGAGUGGAUGAAGGUAGGAUGGGCCUGCGGCGUAUCAGGUUGUAGGGGGUGUAAUGGACCUCCUAGCCAUCGACGCGUACGGGUGUUGGGAGACAUAGCCCGGAGAUGGAUUCUGAGACACGAAUCCAGGCCCUACGGGGCGCAGCAGUUACGAAAACUUGGCAAUGCGGGAAACCGUGACCAGGGAACUCCAAGUGAGUCUCUUUUAGGGGCUCUUUUCUUGACUCUAAAACGGUCUUGGAAUAAGGGGUGGGUAAGGACGGUGCCAGCCGCCGCGGUAAUACCGGCGCCUCAAGUGGUCGUCGCUUUUAUUGGGCCUAAAACGUCCGUAGCCGGUUUGGUACAUUCGUGGGUAAAUCAGCUCGCUCAACGAGUUGAAUUCUGCGAGGACGGCCAGACUAGGGACCGGGAGAGGUGUGGGGAACUCUCAGGGUAGGGGUAAAAUCCUGUCAUCCUGAGAGGACCACCUGUUGCGAAGGCGCCACACUAGAACGGAUCCGACGGUCAGGGACGAAGCCUAGGGGCACGAACCGGAUUAGAUACCCGGGUAGUCCUAGGUGUAAACGCUGUGGACUUGGUGUUGGGGAAGCCCAGAGCUUUCCCAGUGCCGUAGCGAAGGUGUUGAGUCCACUGCCUGGGGAGUACGGUCGCAAGGCUGAAACUUAAAGGAAUUGGCGGGGGAGCACUGCAACCGGAGGAGUGUGCGGUUUAAUUGGAUUCAACGCCGGG
rnacentral:rRNA from 1 species